CAGCGGUGAAAGUUUGAGGCUCAACCUUAAAAUUGCCGUUGAAACUGUUUUUCUUGAGUAUAUUUGAAGURGGCGGAAUUCGUAGUGUAGCGGUGAAAUGCAUAGAUAUUACKAAGAACUCCAAUUGCGAAGGCAGCUUACUAAACUAUAACUGACGCUGAAGCACGAAAGCGUGGGUAUCAAACAGGAUUAGAUACCCUGGUAGUCCACGCCGUAAACGAUGAUUACUAGCUGUUUGUGAUAUUACAAUAAGMGGCUAAGCGAAAGCGAUAAGUAAUCCACCUGGGGAGUACGCCGGCA
rnacentral:rRNA from 1 species